rnacentral:rRNA from 1 species
AGCGAACGCUGGCGGCAGGCUUAACACAUGCAGGUCGAGCGGGCAUAGCAGUAUGUCAGCGGCAGACGGGUGAGUAACGCGUGGGAACGUACCUUUUGGUUCGGAACAACUGAGGGAAACUUCAGCAAAUACCGGAUAAGCCCUUACGGGGAAAGAUUUAUCGUCGAAAGAUCGGCCCGCGUCUGAUUAGCUAGUUGGUGAGGUAAUGGCUCACCAAGGCGACGAUCAGUAGCUGGUCUGAGAGGAUGAUCAGCCACAUUGGGACUGAGACACGGCCCAAACUCCUACGGGAGGCAGCAGUGGGGAAUAUUGGACAAUGGGCGCAAGCCUGAUCCAGCCAUGCCGCGUGAGUGAUGAAGGCCCUAGGGUUGUAAAGCUCUUUUGUGCGGGAAGAUAAUGACGGUACCGCAAGAAUAAGCCCCGGCUAACUUCGUGCCAGCCGCCGCCGUAACAC